CCUACGGGAGGCAGCAGUGAGGAAUAUUGGUCAAUGGCCGGAAGGCUGAACCAGCCAUGCCGCGUGAAGGUCAGUGCCCUAUGGGCGUUAACCUUCUUUUGUGCGGGAGCAAUAUUGGUCACGUGUGGCCAGACGUGAGUACCGUACGACUCAGGAUCGGCUCACUCCGUGCCAGCCGCCGCGGUAAUACGGAGGAUACGAGCGUUAUCCGGAUUUAUUGGGUUUAAAGGGUGCGUAGAUGGGUUGUUAAGUCAGUGGUGAAAGUUUGCGGCUCAACCGUAAAAUUGCAAUUGAUACUGGCAGUCGUGAGUACAGGUGAGGGAGGCGGAAUUCGUGGUGUAGCGGUGAAAUGAUUAGAUAUCACGAAGAACCCCGAUUGCGAAGGCAGCUUACUAAACUGUGACUGACAUUGAUGCACGAAAGUGUGGGUAUCAAACAGGAUUAGAUACCCUAGUAGUC
rnacentral:rRNA from 1 species